rnacentral:rRNA from 1 species
UACGUAGGUGGCAAGCGUUGUCCGGAUUUAUUGGGCGUAAAGCGAGCGCAGGCGGUUUCUUAAGUCUGAUGUGAAUGCCCCCGGCUCAACCGGGGAGGGUCAUUGGAAACUGGGAGACUUGAGUGCAGAAGAGGAGAGUGGAAUUCCAUGUGUAGCGGUGAAAUGCGUAGAUAUAUGGAGGAACACCAGUGGCGAAGGCGGCUCUCUGGUCUGUAACUGACGCUGGAGGCUCGAAAGCGUGGGGAGCGAACAGGA